rnacentral:tRNA from 2 species
GCCACUAUAGCUCAGUAGGUAGAGCGCAUCCAUGGUAAGGAUGAGGUCACCGGUUCGAUCCCGGUUAGUGGCU